rnacentral:tRNA from 1 species
AGUAAAGUUAGCUAAAUUAAGCUCUUGGGCCCAUACCCCAAAUAUGUUGGUUAAACUCCUUCCUUUGCUA